GAUGAACGCUGGCGGCGUGCCUAAUACAUGCAAGUCGAGCGAACAGAUGAGGAGCUUGCUCCUCUGACGUUAGCGGCGGACGGGUGAGUAACACGUGGAUAACCUACCUAUAAGACUGGGAUAACUUCGGGAAACCGGAGCUAAUACCGGAUAAUAUAUUGAACCGCAUGGUUCAAUAGUGAAAGACGGUCUUGCUGUCACUUAUAGAUGGAUCCGCGCCGCAUUAGCUAGUUGGUAAGGUAACGGCUUACCAAGGCAACGAUGCGUAGCCGACCUGAGAGGGUGCUCGGCCACACUGGAACUGAGACACGGUCCAGACUCCUACGGGAGGCAGCAGUAGGGAAUCUUCCGCAAUGGGCGAAAGCCUGACGGAGCAACGCCGCGUGAGUGAUGAAGGUCUUCGGAUCGUAAAACUCUGUUAUUAGGGAAGAACAAAUGUGUAAGUAACUGUGCACGUCUUGACGGUACCUAAUCAGAAAGCCACGGCUAACUACGUG
rnacentral:rRNA from 1 species